GGGGCGGGGGUGCUAUACAUGCAAGUCGAGCGAAUGGAUUAAGAGCUUGCUCUUAUGAAGUUAGCGGCGGACGGGUGAGUAACACGUGGGUAACCUGCCCAUAAGACUGGGAUAACUCCGGGAAACCGGGGCUAAUACCGGAUAACAUUUUGAACCGCAUGGUUCGAAAUUGAAAGGCGGCUUCGGCUGUCACUUAUGGAUGGACCCGCGUCGCAUUAGCUAGUUGGUGAGGUAACGGCUCACCAAGGCAACGAUGCGUAGCCGACCUGAGAGGGUGAUCGGCCACACUGGGACUGAGACACGGCCCAGACUCCUACGGGAGGCAGCAGUAGGGAAUCUUCCGCAAUGGACGAAAGUCUGACGGAGCAACGCCGCGUGAGUGAUGAAGGCUUUCGGGUCGUAAAACUCUGUUGUUAGGGAAGAACAAGUGCUAGUUGAAUAAGCUGGCACCUUGACGGUACCUAACCAGAAAGCCACGGCUAACUACGUGCCAGCAGCCGCGGUAAUACGUAGGUGGCAAGCGUUAUCCGGAAUUAUUGGGCGUAAAGCGCGCGCAGGUGGUUUCUUAAGUCUGAUGUGAAAGCCCACGGCUCAACCGUGGAGGGUCAUUGGAAACUGGGAGACUUGAGUGCAGAAGAGGAAAGUGGAAUUCCAUGUGUAGCGGUGAAAUGCGUAGAGAUAUGGAGGAACACCAGUGGCGAAGGCGACUUUCUGGUCUGUAACUGACACUGAGGCGCGAAAGCGUGGGGAGCAAACAGGAUUAGAACUUUUUUUUAUCCAAAAAAAG
rnacentral:rRNA from 1 species